GAUGAAGAACGUAGCGAAAUGCGAUAAGUAAUGUGAAUUGCAGAAUUCAGUGAAUCAUCGAAUCUUUGAACGCACAUUGCGCCCGCCAGUAUUCUGGCGGGCAUGCCUGUUCGAGCGUCAUUUCAACCAUCAAGCUCCCGGGCUUGCGUUGGGGCCCUGCGGCUGCCGCAGGCCCCCAAAACCAGUGGCGGGCUCGCUGUCACACCGAGCGCAGUAGCAUUUCUUCGCUCUGGGCGCGGCGGCGGGCGCUUGCCGUAAGACAUACCACUUUUUAAAGGUUGACCUCGGAUCAGGUAGGGAUACGCGCUGAACCUAAGCAUAUCAAUAAGCGGAGGA
rnacentral:misc_RNA from 1 species